GUGGGGGAUAACCAUUGGAAACGAUGGCUAAUACCGCAUAAUACCUUCGGGUCAAAGAGGGGGACCUUCGGGCCUCUCGCGUCAGGAUAUGCCUAGGUGGGAUUAGCUAGUUGGUGAGGUAAUGGCUCACCAAGGCGACGAUCCCUAGCUGGUCUGAGAGGAUGAUCAGCCACACUGGAACUGAGACACGGUCCAGACUCCUACGGGAGGCAGCAGUGGGGAAUAUUGCACAAUGGGCGCAAGCCUGAUGCAGCCAUGCCGCGUGUGUGAAGAAGGCCUUCGGGUUGUAAAGCACUUUCAGUCGUGAGGAAGGUAGUGUAGUUAAUAGCUGCAUUAUUUGACGUUAGCGACAGAAGAAGCACCGGCUAACUCCGUGCCAGCAGCCGCGGUAAUACGGAGGGUGCGAGCGUUAAUCGGAAUUACUGGGCGUAAAGCGCAUGCAGGUGGUUUGUUAAGUCAGAUGUGAAAGCCCGGGGCUCAACCUCGGAAUAGCAUUUGAAACUGGCAGACUAGAGUACUGUAGAGGGGGGUAGAAUUUCAGGUGUAGCGGUGAAAUGCGUAGAGAUCUGAAGGAAUACCGGUGGCGAAGGCGGCCCCCUGGACAGAUA
rnacentral:rRNA from 1 species